UACAGAGGGUGCGAGCGUUAAUCGGAGUUACUGGGCGUAAAGGGCGCGUAGGUGGUUAUGCAAGUAAGAUGUGAAAGCCCUGGGCUUAACCUAGGAAUUGCAUCUUAAACUGUGUGACUGGAGUGCAGUAGAGGAUAGUGGAAUUUCCGGUGUAGCGGUGAAAUGCGUAGAGAUCGGAAGGAACAUCAGUGGCGAAGGCGACUAUCUGGACUGCAACUGACACUGAGGCGCGAAAGCGUGGGGAGCAAACAGG
rnacentral:ncRNA from 2 species